UACAGAGGUCUCAAGCGUUGUUCGGAUUCAUUGGGCGUAAAGGGCGCGUAGGCGGCCGCCUAAGUCAGACGUGAAAUCCCUCGGCUCAACCGGGGAACUGCGUCUGAUACUGGGUGGCUUGAAUUCGGGAGAGGGAUGCGGAAUUCCAGGUGUAGCGGUGAAAUGCGUAGAUAUCUGGAGGAACAUCGGUGGCGAAGGCGGCAUCCUGGACCGGUAUUGACGCUGAGGCGCGAAAGCCAGGGGAGCAAACGGG
rnacentral:rRNA from 1 species